CGCGUGAGAUGAAGAAGGCCUUGCGGGUUGUAAAGCACUUUCGCAAGGGAAGAAAACUUACACGAAUAACACUGUGUGAGGCUGACGGUACCUUGAUAAGAAGCACCGGCUAACUACGUGCCAGCAGCCGCGGUAAUACGAUAGGGUGCGAGCGUUAAUCGGAAUUACUGGGCGUAAAGCGUGCGCAGGCGGUUUUGUAAGUCAGAUGUGAAAUCCCCGAGCUCAACUAGGGAACUGCGUUUGAAACUACAAGACUAGAAUAUGUCAGAGGGGGGUAGAAUUCCACGUGUAGCAGUGAAAUGCGUAGUAGAUGUGGAGGAAUACCAAUGGCGAGAGGCAGCCCCCUGGGAAUAAUAUGAACGCUCAUGCACGAAAGCGUGGGGAGCAAACAGGAUUAGAUACCCUGGUAGUCCACGCCCUAAACGAUGUCUACUAGUUGUUGGUGGAGUAAAAUCCAUGAGUAACGCAGCUAACGCGUGAAGUAGACCGCCUGGGGAGUACGGUCGCAAGAUUAAAAACUCAAAGGA
rnacentral:rRNA from 1 species